GGAGAAUUGCUUGGACCUGGGAGAUGGAGGUUGCAGUGAGCUGAGAUCACACCACUGCACUCCAGCCUGGGUGAUAGAG
rnacentral:miRNA from 10 species